CAGCACAGUCAGGCAGAGGUCUCUCUGAUCUCCAUCCAAUUCCCAGCCAUGCAUCCUUGAGAAUGUGCGCUGAGGCUGAUUGGACACACCUGUCUCUGCUCUGCAAUCAAGCCCGCAGAAACUUACCUCAGCUCCACAGUAUUGCCAGCAACUCACCAGUGUGCCUCUCUCUGUGCCUCACCACAGCCCAGCCGCAGCACUCUCACUCUGGAGCCACUACCCCCUACACAUGGAACCCUCUCCCUUCACAGAAAUUGUUAAACAAUAAA